rnacentral:pre_miRNA from 1 species
GUUAAAAAAAAAAAAGUUUCCGUGUCUAACUUUGACUAUCCGUCUUAUAUAAAAUUUUUUUAUAAUUUAUAUUUUCAUUGUUGUUAGAUGAUAAAACAUGAUUAAUAUUUUAUGCGUGACUUAUUUUUUUAUUUUUUUAAUAUUUUUUUAAAUAAGGCGGACGGUUAAACGUUGGACACGAAAAUCAGAGUUUGUCUUUUU